UAUUCAAUAUGUAAUUCGUGCUAUCAUGUUAAUUCUUCAUUUUAGCGUUUGCAUUUCUCGUAGAAGUAACGCCCACAUCAUCGAAUAAUUUCGCUCAACGGCUGGAAUUAUGCUAUCAGCCACAGGAAACUUUUUUUAGUUUCAUGUAGCUAAAAAACACCUGGUAUGCAAGGCUUAAGGUGCGGUGUUGUGACCUCUGUCAAUUUUUCUUCUAACGGUGGUGAAGCGACAGUCUUCAUUGAGUGGUACCUCUGUCCACUAUGUUUCAGGCAAAGUAAUGUUACGUUGGAGGUCCAGAGGCACAAGCAAGGAAAGGCAGCUGAUAUAAUGAUCAAUCCGGGACGAACACCACCUGUGCACAUGAACUCAAAAUACGAAGUUUUGUAUGCUACGCAACACUGCAUUAUUGUCGGUGACGUGCCGGAGCCAACACUUAGAACAUACUGCACCUACUGGGUCAAGAAGAGCAAUGUGAAGAAUCGGCACUGGGCUUGUGACUUCAUAUUAAACCAUUACUGCCGAAGCCCAGAAAUUGUCAUUAAGGAUACAAAGGAUUGUUGGCCUGAAUGAAAUGCAUAAAGAUCAAAAUGAACUACACCAAUACAAUUUACGAUGAUGUUCAAUGUCAGCCAAAAGCCGAAAGCUUCUAGUUGACAAUUCACUUUAUUAAAGAAUGGUGCGACGAAGGUGCUUAUUUGUUGAAAUGGGGACAUCUCGGAAACGCUUCUUGCUUCAUUGCGCAAUUUGGAACAGCACAUCUGCCGCAGUCAUUAAUUUACAAGCUGAAUCACCGUAUGCGGACUAACCUUAGAGGUCUGGCGCUAUUUACUGGAACACUUUAGGGAGCACGCUUAAGUGCUUAGUGAGCUUUGAGACCGCCAUCACGGAACGCAACUGCUGUCCUCUUUACCAUCGCGGUGGCUUUGUAGCACUUAGCUACGUUUGGGUGGAUGUCUCAUCUUCCGAUUAAUAAUUACUCCUCUCCAACUUGCGGGCUUCCGCAGAACUAUUACGUCAAACUGUUGUCUUUGCUUCUUAGUUGUCGAUGAAUUUGACUUCGCCUGCCAUCUGCUAGCUGCCAUGUUAGGCCAACUGGUAGAUCAGCUGCCCCGGAAAGGCGGUUGUCCCAAGUUCGAUUCCCUGACCAGGACGAAUUUCUCCUCAAGAGCGAAGCUUUUCUUUCGAGGAACCCGUAUGGGCUUCCUUUCUAGCACUUAGCUGCAUUUGGGUGGAUUACCCUUCUCCACCUUGCCGGUUUCCGGCGAACUAUUGUGUCAAUAAACCUUCUCCCCUUGCGUCCCUACGCCUUCUCCCCUUGCGAAUGUUAUUCAAUCACAAGCUGUUGCUGAUAAUGUUCCGCCUCAU